rnacentral:rRNA from 1 species
CUAGCGACUUCUAGAGUUUGUAUCCUGGCUCAGGAUAAACGCUGGCGGCGCACAUAAGACAUGCAAGUCGAACGGACUUAACUCAUUCUUUUAGAUUGAGAGCGGUUAGUGGCGGACUGGUGAGUAACGCGUGAGCAACCUGCCUAUUAGAGGGGAAUAACAGUGAGAAAUCAUUGCUAAUACCGCAUAUGCUCACAGUACCACAUGGUACAGUGAGGAAAGGAGCAAUCCGCUAAUAGAUGGGCUCGCGUCUGAUUAGCUAGUUGGUGAGGUAAUGGCUUACCAAGGUGACGAUCAGUAGCCGGACUGAGAGGCUGAACGGCCACAUUGGGACUGAGAUACGGCCCAG